rnacentral:rRNA from 1 species
UACAGAGGGUGCUAGCGUUGUUCGGAAUCAUUGGGCGUAAAGGGCGUGUAGGCGGUUUGUUAAGUCAUGUGUGAAAUCCCUCGGCUCAACCGGGGAACGACGCAUGAAACUGGCAAGCUAGAGUACCAAAGAGGGGGGUGGAAUUCCCGGUGUAGCGGUGAAUUGCGUAGAUAUCGGGAGGAACACCUGUGGCGAAAGCGGCUCACUGGACCACAACUGACGCUGAUGCGCGAAAGCGUGGGGAGCAAACAGG